CAGAGUUGCAAAAACCUCCCUAAACCAUUGUGAACCUACCCCCUAAACAGUUGCUUCGGCGGCGCCCCGGACAGGCCCGCCGGAGACCACUAGACUCCUGUUUUUUUAACACUGGCCUCUCUGAGUUUACUGUACUGUAAUAAGUCCA
rnacentral:misc_RNA from 1 species